ensembl:snRNA U4 U4 spliceosomal RNA
AGCUUUGCACAGUGACAGUAUCAGAGCCAAUGAGGUUUAUCUGAGGUGCGAUUAUUGCUAAUUGAAAACUUUUCCCAAUACCCUGCCUUGACGACUUGAAAUAUAGAAGCAUUGGCAAUUGUUGACAGUCUCUAUGGAGA